UACGUAGGUGGCGAGCGUUGUCCGGAUUUAUUGGGUUUAAAGGGUGCGUAGGCGGUCCCUUAAGUCAGUGCUGAAAUACUCCAGCUUAACUGGAGGGGUGGCAUUGAUACUGGGGGACUUGAAUGAAGUCGAGGUAGGCGGAAUUGACGGUGUAGCGGUGAAAUGCGUAGAUAUCUGGAGGAGCACCGGUGGCGAAGGCGGCGUUCUGGACUGCUACUGACACUGAGGAACGAAAGCCAGGGGAGCAAACGGG
rnacentral:rRNA from 1 species